ensembl:lncRNA
AUUUUUAGUGAGUUAGCUUUUACAGAAAUACUUUUCAGAGGUUAAAGUGAUCAUCUUAUCAUAUGCAACUCAGCACCAUUCUGUUUGUGCAAGACAGAAUUUUACGAAAACAAACAAAAGAUAAGCAAUUUCCAAAAAGUGGCAUUCUUUCCCAGGUUGUCACAUAUUAUUUUAAACCUGUACGGAAACAUCCUGCAAUUUAAUGCUAAUGACAUAUAUAUGGUGGAAAAAACCCACUUUGCCCACAGUUAUCAGAGCAUAUGUGAGAACAGACUGUUGAAAUGCAACUAGAGCUGCGAUGAACAAUAUUCUAUUAACGACAAGUGACUCUGUCAAAAGGAGACUAAAGAGAACCAUGGUAUGCAUCUAUUAUGAAAUUUGCAUUUCAUUUGAAACUUCUUGGUUCAAAGCAAGCCUUUAAAAAGGACUAUCCAUUUACACUAGCAAUUAUGUGGAUGUUUUUAUUGUUCAGGUUGGAGGUGUGUUGCUUAAAAUGACAUCUCUGCUUCAUAUUGGAUAAGGGAAUUCUACAUUCAUCUUCCUUCCAGAAUAAAAUAAAUUGAGAAAUUUAACUUUUGUUGGACAACAUUUUGGACAUUCAGUGUUGAAGGAUGGAUGUAUUACUUGACAGACAUCAAGACAAUGUCCUGGAAUAAGUAAGUGGUGUCAAAAUCAUUACACAGACAUUGUGACGGUCCACAGCGAAAAAUGUAACAUGUUUCCUUAAAGAAAAUGUAAAAAAACAACAUCUCCCUAAUACUGGAUUGGAAUGCAAAAGAUCAAUGGCACUUGGAUGUAGGUUGCCAAUGGACAAAUCAUGAAAUAUCAAAACUUGGCACCCAGUGAGCCCAACAACAAGUCUAAUGAAAACUGUGGAACUAUACAGCAGCAACAAACAAUAAUGGAAAGUGGAACGAUGACAAUAAUCAAUUGGCAAAGCAUCCUUUAUGCAAAAGAGUACAAAAGGCAGAGACAUGAGGUUGGUGCCAAACAGGAUGUUUAUUAAGAGGUUUGCAGAGGAGUGGAGCGGAUGAGGUGAAUGCAGGUGAGAAUAAACACAGUGACGUUUUCA